rnacentral:rRNA from 1 species
AACGUAGGAGACAAACGUUAUCCGGAGUUACUGGGCGUAAAGGGCGUGCAGGUGGUCUGUUAAGUCUGGCGUGAAAGCUCUCGGCUAAACCGGGAGAGGUCGUUGGAUACUGGCGGACUAGAGGACGGUAGAGGCGUGUGGAGUUCCGGGUGUAGUGGUGAAAUGCGUAGAGAUCCGGAAGAACACCGGUGGCGAAGGCGGCCUGCUGGGCAGUAGCUGACGCUGAGGCGCGACAGCGUGGGGAGCAAACAGG